GGAUUAGGCAUGCAAGUCGAACGCUCCAUUUUCUUUCGGGAUGAUGGAGAGUGGCGAAAGGGUGAGUAAUGCAUAGACAAUCAACCCCCAGCUCUCGGAUAACUGAGAGAAAUCUCAGCUAAUACGAGAUAGGCUCGCGGAGGAGCAUUCUUCUGCGAGUAAAGGAGGCCUCUCAACGAUGCUCCUGGUUGGGGACGGGUUUAUGUCCUAUCAGCUUGUUGGUGGGGUAACGGCCUACCAAGGCUAUGACGGGUAGCCGACCUGAGAGGGUGACCGGCCACACUGGGACUGAGACACUGCCCAGACUCCUACGGGAGGCUGCAGUCGAGAAUCUUCCGCAAUGGGCGAAAGCCUGACGGAGCGACGCCGCGUGCAGGAUGAAGGCCUUCGGGUUGUAAACUGCUGUCCUAGGUUAAGAAACGGCUAGGUGUCAAUAGCAUCUAGCCUUGACAAAGGCCUGGAAGAAAGCCACGGCUAACUUCGUGCCAGCAGCCGCGGUAAGACGAAGGUGGCAACCGUUGUUCGGAAUUACUGGGCAUAAAGCGCGCGUAGGCGGCAACAUCAGUCAGGUGUGAAAUCCCUCGGCCCAACCGAGGAACUGCGCUUGAUACUGUGUUGCUUGAGGGCAGGAGGGGAGCGUGGAAUUCCUGGUGGAGCGGUGAAAUGCGUUGAUAUCAGGAGGAACACCGGCGGCGAAGGCGACGCUCUGGCCUGCUUCUGACGCUGAGGUGCGAAAGCUAGGGUAGCAAACGGGAUUAGAUACCCCGGUAGUCCUAGCCGUAAACGAUGGGCACUAAGUAGAGGGGUUUUA
rnacentral:rRNA from 1 species